GUGCUUUAGGGAUGAAGAGGUCCCUCACAUUAAUCCAUCUGAUUCACUUUGUCAGCUGUCUCUUUAGUUGUCUUGCUGAUCAUUUUAGGGCGGUACAUGC